rnacentral:lncRNA from 1 species
UAAAUGAAGUCGUGGUGUCUCAGGUAUGUACUCUGCUCUUACUUAACAAGCUACUAAAUUCUCUCAGAAUCUACAGUAAUUUGAAAAAAAAAAAUUCUCUAUGGAUGGGGAGCAUGCCUCCACCGUUGGUUUUAUUUAUUUUUUAUUUUUUAUUUUUUGGGUCUUUGUGUCUUUUUAGGAUAUGGAGGUCUGCAGCUCCGGUUAGAACCUGGGAACCUCCAUGUGCCAUGGGAUCGGCCCUAGAAAAUGCAAAAAAAAAGGACAAAAACAGAAACAAAAUAAUCAUGGGAGUUCCUAUUGUGGCUCAGCAGGUUAAGAACCUAACAUAGUAUCCAUGAAGAUGUGGGUUUGAUUCCUGGCCUCAUCCAGUAGGUAAAGGAUUGGGCGUUGCUGAAAGCUGCAGUGUAGGUCACAGAUGCAGCUCGGAUCCACAGUUGCUAUGGUUGGAGCAUAGGCCAGCAGCUGCAGUUGCGAUUCAGCCCCUAGCCCAGGAACUUCCAUACACCACAGGUGCUGCCAUAAAAUAAAAUAAAUAAAUAAAAAUAGUCACGGUUUCAUACUGGUGAUUUCAAUUGAAGUUAAAUUGAACGUCAGAGUUUUUAAACUUAUUGUCCUUUAUUUGCAUUUCUUUUAUGCCCCCCAAACUUAAUAUUAACAUAAUUGCUUAUUUCCUGUAUCCUGUAGUAUAUGUAAUAGUUUUAAAAUGAUACUACAUUGUUGUUAACAAUAUGGUUGUUACUUAGUAUAGGUUAAGAUUUCUUCGUGGUUCUUUUUGUUCUUAGAAUAUACCCUGCUUGGAAUAAGACUAGCUUCCUUGGCUCAGGGGAACCAAGAAUCACCCCCGAGCCUGGGAGGGCAUCUCCCAAGGGACAUGACUCCACAUUUUUUACUUCUUUUUGUUGAAUUAUAAAAGAUCUAUUGACUUUCCAGUAUGAAAUCUGAGAAUUUAAUGUGCAGCACUUUUCUUUCUUUCUCCUCUCUCCUCUAUUUGGAAAUUAUUAUUCUCAAGUUUUUUUGUUGUUGUUCUAGCUUCUGUAACUUUAAAUGUUUCAAUUACAUUUUCCACUCAGGGCAUUACGUGUAGUUUUUUCCUUCCCACAUAAAAGUUGCAAAACCAUAAGUAACAUUGGUCAUAAUAUAGACAUUGACACUAUAGCUCUAUAAAUCCAAUUACUUGUAGUACUAAGGUUACAUUUUCUUUAUUUGAAGAAGAGACCUGAGCUGCUGCAGUGACAACACCAGAUCCUUAACCUGCUGAGCCACACGGGAACACCUCUGCACAAAUUUCUUUGUUAAGAGUCCUCUUUACUCCUGAUGUACCAUUUGGUGUAUGAGCCUGCUACAGCUAUUAUUAUAAAAUUUCUAAAAUUCCAAUUCCUUGUACAUUUCCCAGCUUUAUCCCUACCCCACUCUGGUAACUACUGUGGUUUGUUAAUUCUCCCAGAGUUAUCCAUAUACUAGCAAACAUAAAUAUAUACUUCAUUUUCCUCCUGCUUUACAUAAAUGUCAACCUGCCAGCUACUAUUGUGUACCCUUUUUCACGUAACAGAUUUUUCUUGGCGAUCUUUUCACAUCAGUACAAAGAGCAUCUUCACUUGUUUUUACAGCCCCAUAGUCCAUCCUUUGGAUACACUGUAAUUUACUUAACCUGUUGAUGGUUACUUUGAGUUUUCCAAUCUGUUGCUAUUAGAAACAACAUGUAUCUGUGGAAUAAAUCCCUGAGUAGAAAUGCUGAGUCAGAGCACACGUGCAUUUGUAAAGUCGGUAGAAAUGACGAAACCGCUGUCUGGGGGGGUGUGCAGACUUAGGUUCACGAGUGACAGAGGGGCAUCCACUUCCCCCACAGCCUCGCCCACUGUGUCACAGGCGUACGUGUGCGUCUGGCUGUGUCUCUCUCUGUCUCUCUAAGGGGUGGGGGUGGUGUUUACUUGUCUGCUGGGGAAGCGAUGGCAGUUGUUCACUGAGGCGUCCACCUUGUAAGGCUGGCGUAGAAAGAUGGCCCCGCUUUCACAAAAACAGUGCAAGAAGGUCCAGCUCUCUUUACACUGAAGAAGAUGCAAGGAAAUGCUAACAAAUAAAGAAAUUAACCACAGGACCUAUUUAGAAAGAGACUUGGCAACGUGCCCAGCAUAUUCUCCAUUCGUGACACUGGAAUAAUUUAAAUGCCCUCUAGUCUGGGCUAGUAUUGUCCAAUUAAGAGGUCUAUUCGAAUGAAAACACGUGGGUUUUUAUGCUUACCGUGGUGAAGCAGAUUUUUUUUUCUUCUGUUAAAAUCCUCUCUUUAAAUAUUUGUACAUUGAAUGACAAAUGGUGAGGAUUAUGGUUUAAUUAAGCAAACUGGACAUUUCCUGUUUUCUUUCCAACUACUGUGAAUUAGAGGGAUUCAAGUCAGAGCAAGACAGGGUCCUUGUCCUUCCGAUGCCUUUGGUGUGGAAUAAUUGAAUUCAAGGAAGAAGAUGAUGGAGUUCCUGUCGUGACUCAGCGGUUAAGGAACCCGACUAGUAUCCGUGAGGACGCGAGUUCGAAGCCUGGCCGCACACAGUGGGUUAAGGAGCCACCGUUGCCAUGAGGUGUGGUCUAGGCCUCAGACCUGGCUUGGAUCUGGUGUUGCUGUGGUUGUGGUGUAGGCCAGCGGCUAUAGCUCAGAUUUGACCCUUAGCCUGGGAACCUCCAUAUGCCACAGGUGUGACCUUUAAAAAAAGGGGCGGGGGGAGAAGAUGAUGAGCGCUCUAAGACGUGGAGGCAGUGUGGGCCUCAGAGAAGGGGCAGAGCUUCCCAGGUGGUGGGAAGUCAGGAGAGAAGACGGUAUUUAGGAUGAUCUGAAAUAAUGAGGAGCAGUAGACAGAGAUAUAGAGGCGAGGGAAGGUGUUUAAUUGUCUUCUUAUCUGGUUUGGGUCCCAGGAUGUGAAACGCACAUUUCCUUGGCAUUUUAGUGCAAUGUAGCAGGGAGUCGUGCUGAAAUUUAGCACCAGAGUUUUAUAUCUAAUUUAGGCCGUGUAACCUAGUUUAGAACACAGACUAGAGAAAGACAAUCCCAGCUGCCACCCGCUAGCUGGGUGACCUUGGGCAGGCUGUUGAACUUCUGUGCACCUCUGUUUUCCUCUCCAUAAAGUGAAGGUUAUAAUUGUUUUGAGGAUGAAAUUGGUGUAUGUAAAUCGCAUAUUGCAGUGCCUGGCUCGUUAUUAUUUUUAUGUUGUACCCUCACACACUGUUACUUUUUUUCUACUUAAAAGAAUAUUUUUCUGGUUAUAAAAUUAAUAUAUGAUCGUUGUAGGAAAUGUGGGGUAUGUAGAAAAGCAUCUUUAUAUCCUCACACGUAACCACCCCACUGUGGACUGGCCUAGCAUCUUGGCACGUUGCCUGGGAGGCAGCCUUCAGAGCGGCUAAGAACUUGGACUCUGGAUGGGUCACGUUCUAGUCCCAGCAUUUACUCAUCUCUCCUCCUCUCUCUCAGUUUGCCCAUCUGUAAAACCUGGGGAAUAGUACUGAUCACAGAAUGCAAAAUAAAUAACUCAAUAGACGUGAGGCGAUUAGAACAAUGCAAGGCAGAGUGAGUGCGGUGUGAGCAUCUGUGUGGCUGCUGUUAUUCUUCCCUGUGUGUUUAUGGCCUUUUUUAGGGGGCUCCACCCUCAGAGUAUGGAGGUUCCCAGGCUAGGCGUCAAGUUGGAGCUUCACCUGCUGUCCUACACCACAGCCACAGCCACAGCAACUCGGGAUCCAAGCUUCAUCUGCAACCUAACAGCGCUAGUCAGGUUUGUUACCAUUGAGCCACAACGAGAACUCCAUGGCCAUGUAGAGAAAUCCCAUCAGCCUCUGAAAUAGAAAAUACAAGUAAGUGUGACUAAUGGUGGAGUAGGCAGUCAGGGAGUUCCCGUUGUGACUCAGCGGAAACGAAUCCGACGAGUAUCCAUGGCCUUGGAUAGGUUCGAUCCCUGGCCUUGCACAGUGGGUUAAGGAUCCGGCAUUGCCUUGAGCUGUGGCAUAGGUUGCAGACACAUCUUGCAUCUGGCGUUGCUGUGGCUGUGGCGUAGGCUGGCAGCUACAGCUCCAAUUCCACCCCUAGCCUGGGAACCUCCAAAAGCCACAGGGGCAGCCCUAAAAUGACAAAAAAAAACCAAAAAAAAAAAAAAAA